CUUAUUUUCAUGUAAGAAUGGCUACUUUUCUGUCACUUCAUACUUAAAUGUAACCAGAAUAAGGCCGCCUUCAACAGAAAAUCAUAAAGGUCUAAUCUUUAAUCACACUGUACAUUAACCCAGAACAACAUAUUUAUGUAAACAGUGCUGACACAACUAACACCUUUCGGCUCACUGAGAAAUCUCUAUUACAGCCCUGAGAAAAAGAAAAUCACGAGCCCUCGUAUAUCACCAUCUCCGGGAUGAAGCCUGCUCGCCCUCCCUCUUCCAUAAUGCAAGCAAUGUGCCUGUUACAACCAAAAAUGAUUUUGCUAUUUCAACGUCGGGAAAUCUGCAAGUCAAAGGUGAGGGAACGACUGCACAGAGCAGCCAAUAUUAAAAAAUCACAAUCUGGCAGCCAGCAGCAGCCUGCGAUUUCUGGGAGAGCUGGAUUGCCAAUCAUUUUUAUACCUCUGCGCUUUAAAUAGCAAUAAUGUGUUGAAUGUGAAAUUGCCUGUGCUGAUGUGGUUUGCUUCACGCUAUUAAAAUACAAGCGUUGGGACA